UAAAACAGGUGAAAGUGUUGAAACUAAGAGGAAGGAGGGUGCCCAGCCUUUAACUUCGAAAGGCCGAUGCAUCCCUGGGGGGAGGGGAAGAGGAGGAAAUAAGGAAACCAGCAAAGGAAAUAAAAAAUAACACGGACUUAGCAACCCUUUAUGCCUUAAGAUUUUUUUUUAAUCUUGCGCGAAUGAUUGUAUCACAUAAGUAAAAGUAAGGGACGUUUUAAAAUGUUACAUUUAAUUUUUUUUUUGCAUUCGGAAGCUACAGGAGUUAUUAAAACACCUACUCAUUACCAGCCUAGUCUCCUGUAAGCAACAUUUAAAAUGCAUGAGUGGUUGGGGGUUUCUCCCUGCCUAAGCGCCAAUGCAAUGGUAAAAAGAAACCUGGGAUGGUCUUUUAGGGAUGAGAAAUCUAAACGAGGAAAUAAAACAAUAGCCUUUGUUCUUCUUGACUGCUGCCUCUUUAAGAGAAUCUACCAGGAAAUGGGAGAUCAGGUUGCAAACUGAACACAGGGAAAUCUGGAGAGAGCCCGGGAGGGACAUUGGAGACAAAAGCAUAGGAGGUUGAGCCAGAAUGAUGGAUUAGGAAGAUAAAGUGAGCUAGAAGAUAAAACCAGAAAGAUUUUUUUUUCUAGGAAAAUAGGAAAGGAAAGACGUAGGUUGUGUUGAAUUCAGAGUACUGGGGGAGGGGACCACUCUAACGAAAACUGCAUUCAAGAGAAGGAAAGAGUAGACAGUUAUCAAAGGCAGUUUAGUUCCCGUUCCUUUUCCUCAACCUCCUCCCCCUUUUGAAAUGAAUUGCAUUCAUUGAGUGCUGUCCUUUUAAAGAAACAGCUACUUCCUAACAACUGAAAUUUGCUGCUUGACUACAAAGUUAGCAGGAUGUGUUCAUGUAGAUAAGAAAGAAGGAAAAAGGAAACACAAUUCUAGAGGAACUGAUCUUAAAAAAAAAACAAACCCUCUACCAUUAGAAUUUUCUUUAGAAUCUUAAGUAUUAACAAUUGAGGCACCAAGAUAAUUCUAUAGAAGCCUGCUGAAGAUUUCGUUUUUCCAGGUAAUUAGUGACCAGACCAGGAAGCAGUUCCUGAAGAUUACUAGACUACCAGGGAUGGAUGUCUGAAUUGUUGUGAGCCCAGUAGAAGAAAAUGGCAUAUACUACAGUCUGGGAACUGCUAAAGAUGAAUGUCUGUGCCUAUGAAAAAGUUUUGGGGAGGACCUUGACCUGGCCUAAGAUAGGCAUCCUGACUCUAUUUCCCCAUUGUGCUCCUUUCUUUUCUGAAAAGGAAAUUUCCCCUCCUGAUUAAUCUUGAGCCUUGCUUUUAACACCUGUGACUACUUGAUUGGAUGUCAGAUAAGACUCAUGCCUGGAAUCAAACAGAGCUGAGGAAGGUUUUCCCUCUGUUAUGAUAUAUGUCAUUGUUAUAACUAUAUCCCUCUUUUUCCUUUUAUGGCAAAUUUCUAUAAUCAAGAAGUUUCGUAAGUACAAUAUUAAAUCUAUUAAAUAGUAGAUUGAUACUGGAACAUCUCUCAGUUACUAUAAUAGGAUGCAGUUAUGAGCAUGACACUAUUUUAAACUGUAUUUGUGGUCAAAUUAUAAUACAGGGUGCUAUCCUCCUAAGGGGAAAAAGAUUAGACAAAGUAGUAAGACAAAGAUGUACUGUGAAAGUUUUCUAAAUAAAUGGAAAAGUAAAAUUUGAGAAAGCAACAGGAUUAGACUGUUUUCUCUAAGGACUGUAUACAUAUGUAUGUGAUUGGCUUCCAAAUAUAUGUCAUAGAAAUUCUCAAAAUUGGAUUAAUCCUUAAUUAGAUUAGUUAGUUAACUAAUUUAAUUAAUGUAAUUAAUUAAAUUAAAAAUUUAAUUUAAUUCCUAAAGUUUAUAUUUACCACCUUAACCCCUGAGCUCACCAACUUUAGGCUACAGCUGUCCCUCAGCUCAGUAUCUUAUCCUGGCCUCUUGCGGCAUCUUGGUUUAUACCUGCCUCUGCUUUAUUGGCCAGAAUGGGAGGAGUUCUUUCAGAUACCCUCCCUUUGACCAAAAGGGAAAUGGGGGGGAUCCUCAUGCCAAGACCACCCCUCUCCUUUUAUUCUUCUCUUUUUACUGUUAGGAGACGCCCUGUUUUCCAGAGCUAAGUGCCAGUGAGCAAGCUGUGCCCUGAGCUUGGAUCAGCAAUCCUUUGUGUCUCACCCCCUGGAUGAUCUCAGCUACUGCAAAAUCCCAGAAUUGUUUCAUACCAUCAUCAGGUGAUCCCUGAGCUUGGACAAGCAUCUGUAGUGCCUAUGUUCUGGUCGUGAAGUCCUGCUAUGAUUCAAACUUGUCUCGUUGUUGCUGUUCUCCCUUCACUGUCAGGGCUACAGCUCACUUCGUAGCCAAUGGUAUCACUAUUGAGAUUUGUGCACACUAAAGUCGGUGUCCUACUGGGGCGGGGUUGGCACAUAUGUGUCUAGUUUCUCUCCUUCAAUAGAAUAAAGAAAGCUUUUUGCUUAUAAUCACUGUUAGCUCUUCAGUUUUAUUUUAUUUUAUUGUUAGAGUUAACUGGUUUUAAUAACCUGUGUGAGCUCUCUGAUUGUUUUUUAGAAUUAAUAGCAGUUGCACAGCUGCUGUGGCUCUUUGGUCAUUUGGUCAGGGUUGACAGUAUCUUCAUAGCUAAGAUGGAAGUAUAUGAGAUGGAUGUGGGGUGGUAGACCACAGUUAGGUGAAUUCAAA